rnacentral:rRNA from 1 species
UAGGGAAUCUUCCACAAUGGACGAAAGUCUGAUGGAGCAACGCCGCGUGAGUGAAGAAGGGUUUCGGCUCGUAAAACUCUGUUGUUAAAGAAGAACAUAUCUGAGAGUAACUGUUCAGGUAUUGACGGUAUUUAGCCAGAAAGCCACGGCUAACUGCGUGCCAG